rnacentral:tRNA from 1 species
GUCCUUGUAGCUUAAACAAAGCAUAGCACUGAAGACGCUAAGAUGGCCAGCACACUUCCCCGAGGACA